rnacentral:rRNA from 1 species
GGUUCGGCCGGAUUUUACACAAGUGUUGCAUGGCUGUCGWCAGCUCGUGUCKUGAGAUGUUGGGUUAAGUCCCGCAMCGAGCGCAACCCUCAUCCUUAGUUGCCAUCAGGUAAUGCUGAGUACUUUAAGGAAACUGCCAGUGAUAAGCUGGAGGAAGGUGGGGAUGAUGUCAAGUCAUCAUGGCCUUUAUGGAGUGGGCUACACACGUGCUACAAUGGUGUCUACAAUGGGCUGCAAGGUGCGCAAGCCUAAGCUAAUCCCUAAAAGACAUCUCAGUUCGGAUUGUACUCUGCAACUCGAGUACAUGAAGUUGGAAUCGCUAGUAAUCGUGGAUCAKCAUGCCACGGUGAAUACGUUCUCGGGUCUUGUACACACUGCCCGUCACGCCAUGG